rnacentral:rRNA from 1 species
ACGGAGGGUGCAAGCGUUAUUCGGAAUUACUGGGCGUAAAGCGCACGUAGGCGGCUUUGUAAGUCAGGGGUGAAAUCCCCCGGCUCAACCUGGGAACUGCCUUUGAAACUGGCAAGCUUGAAUCCUGGAGAGGGGGGUAGAAUUCCAGGUGUAGCGGUGAAAUGCGUAGAGAUCAGGAGGAAUACCGGUGGCGAAGGCGGCCACCUGGACGAGGACUGACGCUGAGGUGCGAAAGCGUGGGGAGCAAACAG